ensembl:lncRNA
GCCUCGCUGAGCGGAGGAAGGUGGUAUAUCGCUGGCACCCUUCACGUCGGGGGAUCAGCUUUCUCUUUUGGCUGACAGUGUCUUGUUAUUACAGUUUGUUUAAAACUGGAGUCCUCUGGGUCCCUUUCUGAACAGCACUAUCAGCAUCUUUCUCAGCAGCGGAGAUGUUUCUUUCCCCACUUCAGAUCUGGCCUUAAAAAACCAGACCGUAUUUGAUGGCUUGUUGUGGUCUUUUAGACAAAGGAGUUUUCAGACUCUUUGAAGUUUUAGACAUUUCACCUUAAACAUCAGGAGAACCUUGAUUAAAAAGAUCUUUUAAAGAUAAAUAGCCAAUAUGCAUAAAGCAGAAAGUACAACCCUUUGUAGACAAUAAUCUAUGCUUAAAAGGCACCUUAAGAGCAAUAACUUAAGCUUAGAGUAGUAAGCUUGGAGAUGGAGGUUAAGGGGCUGUAACAAAGUCGUUUAUUUAUUGCAAUUAUAUUGUUAUGCUGUUGGCUCAGUGGGACGUGUGAGGAUGGUGAAGAGAGGAAACAGAUAUGACUUUGGAGCUGUAAGGUUUAGCAGGCAGUGGGAUGGUGAUGUCUUUAGUUGGAAAAGGAAGAAUCAAUCUGAGGAUAGAAGAUGGUAAUAAUAUGUUGGAACUGUUGAGUUUAUGUGCCUGGACGACACCCCUCACUCAAGUGUAGACUCCAUGGAGACAGCAAGAUGCCUCAGAUGAUAUGAAUGAUUGCUUCCUUUCAUAUUGAAAUCAACUGGCUUGAACUUCUUUUUCAUAAGGUAGGUACCUUGGUGCAUCUUUUUUCCAGAUCUCUGGGAAUUUGCUAGGUGGGCUUACCUCUCUCCUAGUCAGCUGAACUUACAGUCUCUUAUGUAUGUUCUCCUUUCCUCAAAUCCUUGCCCAUUUUGGGCACCACCUUGCUAUCCUCACUCCCCAGAUCACCACUGUGACUAGUAGAUGUUGCUGAAGGUGCAAAGUCAGGAGAGGCCAUUCACCUAAAUUCAAUAUUUAUGGAACUGCCAUGUAACAAACAAAUUUGAGUUUCAGAUAAACAGUGAGCAAGUAGUAUCAAUGUGUCCCCACUAUGCCAUGGUAACCUAUAUUUAGGGUUAGUCCUAAAUGAUAGUGUUAGUCACUCAGUCCUGUCCCACUCUUUACGGCCCCGUGGACUGUAGCCCACCAGGCUCCCCUGUCCAUGGGAUUCUCCAGGCAAGAAUACUGGAGUGGGUUGCCAUUCUCUUCUCCAGGGGGUCUUCCUGACCCAGGAAUAGAACCCAGGUCUCCUGCUUUGCAGACGGUUUCUUUACCAUCUGAGCCACCAGGGAAGGCCUAGUUCUAAGUAGUAACCCUGAAUACCAAACCCUGAAAACAUCACCUCUUAUUCCAACAAUCGGAAAUUACCCCCGAGUUGCUUUUCCCUUUUGCAGCCAAGGAGCAUCCUCUUGUCAGAGAUGAACACAGGGCAUGAGGUGAGAGCCAGUGGCCUCUGGGCCCUGCGCAAAGGUGGGUGAAGGGGUAGGAAGCUUGAAAGCAGCCACUGGCCUGGGCUUU